UGCGUAGGCGGGCAGGUAAGUCAGUGGUGAAAUCUUCGAGCUUAACUCGGAAACUGCCGUUGAUACUAUCUGUCUUGAAUAUAGUGGAGGUAAGCGGAAUAUGUCAUGUAGCGGUGAAAUGCUUAGAGAUGACAUAGAACACCAAUUGCGAAGGCAGCUUGCUACACUAUUAUUGACGCUGAGGCACGAAAGCGUGGGGAUCAAACAGGAUUAGAUACCCUGGUAGUCC
rnacentral:rRNA from 1 species